GAAUUGGGGGAGUGGCCUUGCCAUUGGGCGUAAUUACCCAGAUAGGCGAUAAGAAAGGUCUCUGUGGUGCAAUUGGUCAGCGCGUUCGGCUGUUAACCGAAAGGUUGGUCGUUCAAGCCCACCCAGGGACGUUUUGAGAUUGCAGACGUAACAUAAUUUAUGAAGACGCUUUAUUUCUUAAUGAAUUGGGGGAGUGGCCUUGCCAUUGGGCGUAAUUACCCAAAUCAGCUGUCAGAAAGGUCUCUGUGGCGCAAUUGGUCAGCGCGUUCGGCUGUUAACCGAAAGGUUGGUGGUUCAACCCCACCCAGGGACGUUUUGAGAAUGUAAAGAAAUGCAGACGUAACAUAAUUUAUGAAGACACUUUAUGUCUUAUCGAAUUGGGGGAGUGGCCUUGCCAUUGGGCGUAAUUACCCAGAUAGGCGAUAAGAAAGGUCUCUGUGGUGCAAUUGGUCAGCGCGUUCGGCUGUUAACCGAAAGGUUGGUCGUUCAAGCCCACCCAGGGACGUUUUGAGAUUGCAGACGUAACAUAAUUUAUGAAGACGCUUUAUUUCUUAAUGAAUUGGGGGAGUGGCCUUGCCAUCGGGCGUGAUUACCCAAAUCGGCUGUCAGAAAGGUCUCUGUGGCGCAAUUGGUCAGCGCGUUCGGCUGUUAACCGAAAAGUUGGUGGUUCAAGCCCACCCAGGGACGUUUUGAGAUUGUAAAGAAAUGCAGACGUAACAUAAUUUAUGAAGACGCUUUAUUUCUUAAUGAAUUGGGGGAGUGGCCUUGCCAUUGGGCGUAAUUACCCAAAUCAGCUGUCAGAAAGGUCUCUGUGGCGCAAUUGGUCAGCGCGUUCGGCUGUUAAC
ensembl:lncRNA